rnacentral:piRNA from 1 species
UGGAGAGUGACAAGGACUUGUACCUGACC